CUCAACACGGUGUUUUAUAGCUUUUUAAAAAAUUCUGUGAUCAUAUUAUGCUCAGCAAACAGAGAGAGACUAUUCUUGUUCCCUGUGCCUAGGAUGUGCUUGAUGUAUGGUGUGUGUUUUAUAACUGCUCCCUGGGCAGUUCUAAAUGACAAAGCAUUCGUGCUGGCAGCACCCUCUACUUCUCACUUACUCCUCCAGGCCUCUGGCGAACACAGGGCUCAGAGGAACUACCUUCUUCAAGAAUCACGGACGUGGCUGGUUUUCUCAGGAAGGGGUCUCGGCUGAGCAUUAAAAUAAAACGGUGCUUGGUUUUUGUACAGG
rnacentral:lncRNA from 1 species